UCACACUGUACCACUGAAAACAAAUCUAUUGCGAUUACUUUGAUCAGGACCAUGUACUUAUAGUGAUUUGACUGGACUACAGGGGAAACAGAAAGAUUCGUGUACCAAGAAAGUUUGGGAAAAAAUUCGUGUAGAGACUUUUCAGUUAAAUAAAAAAAUUCGUGAAUGCGUUAUACUUAAAAAAAAUAUCGACACAAGCAAAAAAUUUAAAAAAUUUUCG